rnacentral:rRNA from 1 species
AUUGAACGCUGGCGGCAUGCCUUACACAUGCAAGUCGAACGGCAGCGCGGACUUCGGUCUGGCGGCGAGUGGCGAACGGGUGAGUAAUACAUCGGAACGUACCCUGUUGUGGGGGAUAACUAGUCGAAAGAUUAGCUAAUACCGCAUACGACCUGAGGGUGAAAGUGGGGGACCGGAAACGGCCUCAUGCAGCAGGAGCGGCCGAUGUCUGAUUAGCUAGUUGGUGGGGUAAAGGCCCACCAAGGCGACGAUCAGUAGCUGGUCUGAGAGGACGAUCAGCCACACUGGGACUGAGACACGGCCCAGACUCCUACGGGAGGCAGCAGUGGGGAAUGUUGGACAAUGGGGGCAACCCUGAUCCAGCAAUGCCGCGUGUGUGAAGAAGGCCUUCGGGUUGUAAAGCACUUUUGUCCGGAAAGAAAUCGCGCUGGUUAAUACCUGGCGUGGAUGACGGUACCGGAAGAAUAAGCACCGGCUAACUACGUG